AUCAAACCUAAUAAAUGUUUACCCACCUCUCUGGUCUAGUUUUCUGUUGUUUACAUUCAUUUAUGAGAUUUAAAAACAUAUGUCUAACCCAACACCUUUAAGGAUAUCCUCUUCCAGAAAUAACCAAACCUUCUGUACUAAAGAGAGCAAAAAGACAGUCAGUCUCAGUUGUGUCAGGGCUGAGAGCCACAGUGAGGUCAGACAGCAAAAGAGCAGACCGUGACAGAUUUUAUAAUAGUCACAGCAAUGUGACUGCUGAAUGGUACAGAGCCUGGAGGAAUUCUUUCCCCAUGUCUUACUGGAGCCUGGUACCAGACAAUUUUGGACUCAACACUCAUGUUGUGCUCCUGUCUGCAAAUCAAAGGGAAGGGGAUGUGCUGUGGAGAUUCCUGGAGGGCUCGUGCCCAUAUUCAGCCUGCCCACAGCAUGGACCAGACUGCAGACAGGACAAGACACACUGGGCAGAGCUGAGAAGUGGGAAUAAGGGUGGGGUUCAGGCAAGAACAACACAGAAAUCCCCAUGCUGACUGAGAAGGACAUACAGCAUGGACUAACAAACAGCUCAGGGAUUGAGAUAUACCACUCUGAUCAUUAUUACUGUUGCUCUCCUUUUCAGUAUAGGACAUAUAUGUGCUGCUGACAGAGGUGUACAGAGUGGGGUCUGAGCAGCAGAGAGGGGAGACCCUGUGAGCACACCCUAAGCCCUGGGUCAGGUGGCAUUGCUGCAUGUUUAAUCACUCCCUAGCCUGGUUCUGUCAAAACAAUCCAGGUUGGUAAAAAUACUUUUCACAGCAAGGUUUGUUUACUAGUUUCAAAGCAGAAGCAGUGACAGAAAGGGGUUAGGGAGGAUCCUAACCUGUCCUGGUGGUGGGCUGGGAUGGCCAUCUCUAACCUGACCAAGCCACAGCUGAAGAAGCUGAACAACGUGUCCGGAGACCAUGAACAAAAAAAGGCAAGCUAGCAAGCAAGUAUAGACAACAGCAUGCCUCGAGCUGUACAGGAUUUAUGUUUAUCUCAGCAUCUGCCUUGCAAGUCGUGUGACACAUGGGGGGAUCCUGCACAUAGUCAGUCUCUGAGCAGAGAACCAGACCUUGCCCUUCUGAAGCUCCACAGUUGAUGUCAGCACUGAGCACAGCACAAGCUUCCCAUGACAGGAGCAAGGGUAACAAACUAAGUGCUUUAUCCGUUAGAGAAGAAAGCAAGUUUUAAGGAAAAACCAUGCUGGGUUUUGUUUGCAGGGCUUUUUUUAAAAAGUUUUGCACUCAGAACAGAUUUUCUUGAGAUCUGAGCUAAAUGGAAGAGCCAUAUACAACUGCAUACAAUUGUCCCUACCAACAGAGAACUCAAACUUGAAUAAAUGGCAGCCCUUGUAAACAUAAAAUGUCCUAAAUAUUCAUCACAGAAUCAUCAUAGAAUCACUUGGAUUGGAGGGGACCUUAACAAUCAUCUAGUUCCACUCAUGGAACAGGAACACCUUCCACUAGACCACGUUGCUUAAAGCCCCACCCAACCUGUCCUUGAACACUUCCAGAGAUGGGAGAAUCAUCACAUUACAUAAUUACUUAAUGUAAAUUGCAAAGGCUUUAUAAAACCAUCAAAUCUGAAGGGUAAGUUAGGGAGAUGUAAUGAAUAACCAUGUUCUCUUAAGAGGAAUAAGAUACAAGGUUAAGAUAAUGAAAUCUCACAAAACAGAGGCUUGCUGUUCAUUCUAAAAACAUGUAGUUACUGACUCCAAUAAUUAACCUUUGGCAUCCCAAAGACCUCCCUAGCACCCCAGCAGAGUGUCCAGAUGGGCUUCCUGCCUGUCUGCUGGGAUCAGGUUGCCCUGAGCAUCCUGAGAGCCACAUUUUUAAUCAUCCUGUGCCAUUCACACAGGGUGACUGCUUCUCUGUGCAACAGCUGUCUGUCUGACAGUGAGAGAGCUCCAGUUUCACUGAAAGAGUGGCUCCACAGAGGUCAGAGCCAUUAGAUACAUGAAACCCCGGUGAGAUUUUGAAUGGACAAUUUCCAAUUUGCCUGCAAUUAAAACAGCACCAGCCUAAACUACAUCGUUAUUAGGGCUGUGGUCUUUGGCAUUAAGACAUUUGCACAGAUGAGUAAAGCCUCCUUAUCCAUUCAUUUCAGCUGUUAAUGUGGUUAUUUCUCUUCACAGGACAUUGUCUUGGGAACUCUGCUGCAGGAAGACACAGCUUGGACAUUCAGCCUUGCCUCUGGGUUUUGUUUUCCUGUGUGUGAAUUGGAGGUGGCAGCAAAGGAAGUCAAGGGAAGAGAUGGAGGCAGGAGCUGGCGUGCAGAAACCCAUGCUCACUCUCAGCAGGCAUCCUGGCUGUGGCCUCCAUCUGCCAAGGCAAGCCACUUCAGGAUUGUCCUUGUGGCACAAAUAGGGGAAGCUGAGAAGAGGGAGAAGAAAUAUCACAAGGUGCAAAGGCAUCAUCCUGUCAAUGUUCCAGUCACUCCUGAGAAUCACCCCACUUGGACCAGAACACCUCCAAUUAACACUCACUAAUGCUGUAAAUGUCAAGAGGUUUAUCUCAGCCAAGCAAUGAGCAGAGAACAUUUAUGAAAGGAUCAGAAGAACCUCCA